rnacentral:misc_RNA from 1 species
GAGAAAACCGUGGCUUACCGUGGACCUUGCGCCGUCCGCGUGGUCAUGAAAUCGUGUAGCAAAUUUAAGAGGGAAUAUAUAAGAAAAAAUUGAGAAAAAAAGAUUUCAAUGGGUGAGCCGUUGAUAAGAUUCGGUGAUGGUUAGUCGGAGAAAAUUGAAAUAAUCAAUCCGACGCGAAGACAGGUUUAAUGUCAAGAGCCCGAGCUGAGGAUGGAACGAAAACAGUAGCGUGUAACACAGGCGUAAUCAACAUGGUGGCUCAUAAAAUAAACUUGCGAAGGCGUAAUAGCGUGGAGAUAAUUUGAGCUGUAGAAGAAAAAAUUGGUGAAAUGCGUUUGUUGAUUCUGUAAAGAAGUGUCAUCAAUGUAUGGUUACUGGUGAUUUAUUUUACUCGCCAACAAUGUCGGAGAGCGUGGAUAACCGAAACGGGAACAAACACGAUCAGUAUAAUAAUACACAUCCAGACGACGUCGACUGGAAAUUACCAAUCGCUUUCAACAAGCCGAGGCACACAGCGACGAUUGAAGGGGUUAAUUGCAUCACGCAGACAUGGCGAAUGAAGGAACGGAUGAAAACUGUGAGCGUCGCGCUCGUUUUAUGCCUCAAUGUUGGCGUCGAUCCACCGGACGUCGUCAAAACUCAACCCUGUGCUCGACUCGAGUGUUGGAUCGACCCACAGUUGAUGAGCCCACAAAAGGCUCUAGAGAUGAUUGGAAAAAACCUUCAACUGCAGUAUGAGCGAUGGCAACCACGUGCAAGGUACAAGCAAAGCCUUGAUCCGACUGUCGAGGAAGUAAAAAAACUAUGCACGUCAUUGCGCCGCAAUGCCAAGGAGGAGAGGGUUCUAUUCCACUAUAACGGUCACGGAGUUCCUAAACCCACCAGCAAUGGAGAAAUAUGGGUUUUCAACAGGACAUACACGCAGUACAUUCCUCUGUCGGUGUAUGAUCUGCAAACAUGGAUGGGAGCACCUUCUAUCUAUGUAUACGACUGUUCAAAUGCUGGAAUCAUCGUUGAUUCCUUUCAGCAGUUUGCUGAACAGCAUGAACGGGAAUACGAGAUGGAAAAGCAGGCAGUUCAGCACAAUAGGACGGCGGGCGUAGCCAGCGCGACUGCCCCUUCUUACAAGAAUUGUAUACAGCUGGCAGCUUGUGCUGCUAGUCAAAUACUUCCGAUGAAUCCUGAUUUGCCUGCAGAUAUAUUCACAGCUUGUCUUACAACUCCCAUUACAAUUGCAUUACGCUGGUUCGUCAUGCAGAAUACAUCAAAAUUAGUGCCUAAGGUGUCCCUAGACCUUAUCGAUAAAAUACCAGGUCAGUUGUCAGAUCGCAGGACGAUGCUAGGCGAACUAAAUUGGAUCUUUACGGCUAUAACAGACACCAUUGCUUGGAAUACGUUACCUAGAGAUCUGUUCCAAAGAUUAUUUAGACAAGACUUACUAGUAGCUAGUUUAUUUAGAAACUUUUUGUUGGCGGAAAGGAUCCUUCGAUCCUAUGACUGUACACCUGUUUCAUUCCCAAAACUACCACCAACGUUUCAACACCCAAUGUGGCAGGCUUGGGAUUUGGCUCUUGACCUCUCUUUAGCUCAACUAGCAGCGGUAUUGGAAUCGGAGACUUUAUUUGUUCACUCGCCAUUUUUCGAAGAACAACUCACAGCCUUCCAAGUAUGGCUUACGUUAGGUUCAAAGUCUCGCAACCCUCCCGAACAACUGCCAAUUGUAUUACAAGUAUUGCUGAGCCAAGUACAUAGGCUCAGAGCUUUGGAGUUGCUUGGAAAGUUCCUUGACCUUGGACCAUGGGCUGUAAACCUAGCCCUAAGUGUUGGGAUAUUUCCUUACGUUUUGAAAUUACUACAGAGCAAUGCAAGAGAAUUAAGACCCUUGUUAGUUUUCAUAUGGGCAAAAAUCCUUGCGGUGGACAGUACGUGUCAGGCAGAUCUAGUGCGCGACCAUGGACAUAAAUAUUUUCUUUCCGUUCUUCAAGAUCCUACAAUACCGAGCGAGCACCGAACUUUAGCUGCGUUUGUCUUGGCUAGUAUCGUAAACAACUAUCCAGCAGGGCAGGAAGCUGCUCUGAAAGGUAGUCUUGUGUCAAUUUGUCUGGAGCAACUAGGUGACCCAAAUCCUCUACUACGACAGUGGCUAUGCCUGUGCCUUGCCAGACUUUGGCAUAAUUAUGAUGCAGCUAGGUGGUGCGGAGUCAGAGAUAUUGCGCAUGAAAAACUCUACACUCUUUUGCAAGAUCCAAUACCUGAGGUCAGAGCAGCUGCGGUCUACGCUCUAGGAACAUUUAUAAACAGUGUCACUAAAAGAAGUGAACAUGCCAAUAAUAUUGAUCAAAUUAUCGCCAUGACGCUUAUAAAUACUGUUAGUCACGAUAUGAGCCCUCUUGUGAGAAAGGAAUUAGUCGUCGCUUUGCAAUGGAUGGUGCUACAUUUUGAAAACUCGUUUGUAACUUUGGCAGUUGCUGAAGAAAAUAGUAGGCGGGAUCCAGUCGUCGAGACUUUAUCUCCAUUCACAGGUAUGCGUCGGAUCGGUUCGAGAGAUAGAUUAAAAAUUCUUUCGCCAAAUAACGCUUAUGGCACGGAUACGACAGAUUUUAGCCAAGAUCGCAUGAAGAGAGUAUCGUCUUCUUCGUCCAUCAGUAGUUUAGGAAACAACUGGGAAUUUGUAAGAAAACCAUGCGAAUCAAUCGGUCAAUCAUCAUUUGGUAAUCUCCCAAGCUUGUCUUACGGAAGUGUGUACAUGAAAUUGUGGCAUGGCCUCUGUAGCCUCGAUAGUGAUCCGCAUCCUUCGGUCGCUACAAUGUCUCAGAAAGUUACGAACCACAUUCGUAAUCAGGUCAAAGAAUGUUCAGUACCAAAAGAGGUAACAGAGGCAAAGCUACCAUCAAUCUCCCUUCCCCCGUCGCCAUCUAGUCGAGCUAGCUUUCUGACUAAGGGAGAGUCUCUUCCUACAGUCAGCGCUACCUCGGAAAUUCUACGCCCUCCAAGGGUACCACUACACGGAAGUCGGACGAGAAAAACACCUCCGAUUAAUACAAUAACUGAAGAGGCUGAUGAGGUUUUGGGUUUCAAAAAUCCAUUGACAACGUCCUUAUUCGUCGAAUGGAGUUGCGCCCAAUUUGCUCAACCGGUCAGUUUAGAGAGUGAAACAGAAUCCACCAAUGACAUAGAGAGUAGAGCUCACUAUGAACGGGAGUGGAGAUAUCUUCGAAACAAGAAACAACGAAGAGACGCAAAAGAGGAACAGAUCAGAGUUGCGCGAGGAAGAUUAGAGUCUCAGGUCUUUCAUACACGAAGCCCUCAACCUCCUGAAGUUGUUACUUUCCACCCAUUUGACAAGCAUCUGGCUGUCGCAGCAAAAGAUUGUUUCGGAAUAUGGGACUGGCAAACCGGUACAAGACUUACAUACUGCACAAGCCGCGGGAGUAAAAUGGCUCGUGUAACUGCAUUAGGUUUCAUAAAUUCUCACGACGUAGCACUUCUGAUGACUGGAUCUGAUGACGGCUCUGUAAGAAUAUGGAAAAAUUAUUGUAACAUGUUGGGUCGUGACCCUACGCUCCUCACAGCUUGGCAAGCCUUAGCAGAUGCACAACCUGCUUCAAAGAGUCCCAGUGCUGGUGUCCCUGGUUCAACAGUACACAAUUCAGCUUCAGCCGGCCUUAUCACCAGCUGGGAACAGCGCUCGCUAACACUAGCCGUUACUGGGGACGUGCGCAUAGUGCGACUCUGGGAUGCUGAAACCGAAUUGAAGAAACAAGAUAUACCCACUGGGGCGGACAUCUGUGCUACAUGUCUAGACACGGAUGGUUCUGGCACCUUGAUGGCUCUGGGAUGCGGUGAUGGAUCGGUGCGUCUUUUCGAUCGUCGGCUUCCACCUCAUGAAGCAAGAGUGAUGACAUGGAGAGAGCACACAGCCUGGGUUCUUGGUGCUUACUUCAGAGGUACGGCGACAGGUGCCCCCCGACUCAUCACAGGCUCAUUAUCUGGAGAUAUUAGAUUCUUCGAUCUCAGAAAGAAUUCAUCUGUUAACACAGUUCAAACCGCCCAAGGAAUAACUGCCAUGGCUGUUCACAAUGUUGCCGACAUUUUUACCUGUGCAUCUAUGAACCAAUGCAUCAGUGUUUACAAUAUGUCAGGCCAAAACUUGAACGCAAUAAAGUCCUACGAAGGUUUCAUGGGUACUCGAAUCGGUCCAGUCAGCUGUCUCAACUUCCAUCCAUACAGAGUGGUACUGGCAGCAGGCUGCAUGGACAGUUCCGUAUCCGUUUACGCUUCUGAGCCGCGCAGAUGACUAUCGGAGAUGGAGCUGGUAUAGGGAUACAUCCAGCAAGCCGUAGAAAUAUUGCAUCAGACCCCAUCCCUAUUUACAUUUGACUUUUAUCUACCUGUGUGGCAAAAGUCGAGUAAUGAUGUUGGAGCAAAUGUCAAAACAGGUGAGAAUUUUUUAUUUAUUUUUAUCUUUUUUUUUCUUCUAUUUCAUAGUCACGUCUACUUUUCUUUCACAACUUACAAUGCAAUAGCGAUCCAAGUUCUAUCACUUAAUCAAAACACGUUAUUAAUCUAAAAUUUUGAUUCACUUAGCGCGUAAUAUUCAUGGUCCCGUGUUCGUAAUUUAAACUUAAUGCACACUAUGUACACAUGCGGUAAGCAGCAAUCCCGAAAGAAGUAGGCCGAGUUGUUUAUUGGAUUGGACAGUCGAUACAUUCUUUUCGUGCAAGAGUUUUUCUGACAAUGGUAUAUGACAAACUUGCAGCUUCCAAGAUUUGACUGACUUUUUUUUUAAUUGUGAAAAUCACAGGAUACCAACCAGGAGAUCUAUGUCAUUAGAGUAAUCCAAUGAAUCCGAAACAAUGCGUUACCUACAUUUUUAACAUUGAUUAUUUUUCUUAUGAAUACUUUCUGUUCUAUUAGUACUCGACUUAAUAAUAUAAUUAGUUCGAAGUAUACAUCAUAUAACGGAAAGAAAUAGAUCUCACGAAGUUAAUUGAUGGAACAAACAAAAUAAAACGUUAAAAUAACAAUCUUUGAAUACGCGUCAAGAAUCGAUCGAAUUUGCGUACAUGAUUUUUUUUGUUGUCAAUAUGUCACAUAUAUCAUAAGUAUACCUCCAUUUAUGUAAAACUGAAAAUCACGAAUAGUUGUUUGCCACUUUAACAGGUACAAUAAGCGAUUAGCUGAGAUAUAGAAGUGCACGUGAAUCAAAUGAUUCCGAGAUCACACAGCUAUACUUUUAUUUAAUAGGUGUAGGAGUAAAUGAGUAUAUCAUACAAAGUCAAGAUUCUAAGUAAUGGUAACUAUUAACCAUUAAUAUUAUGUCUAUAAUAAAUGUACAACACUCGCUGCUUGGGCAGCGAUUGGCAAUGACAAAUGGUGAUAAAUAUUUAUCGAGUGGCAGCCACGAAAGUUCGUACAAUCUAAAUUCUGAUACUAACAUUAAGCUCAAAUAAGUAAUCAUCAAGAAUAUUCUUGAUUUGAUAGUGCUAUAGCUUUUGAUUAGUCAGAAGAUCAAGAGAAAGUUUAGGAAAAUGAUAUAUAAAUAAAGGAAUAAUAUUUAUUCAAAAAGCGCAUAUGGCCAUUUCGGUGGAUUGAAAUAUGAUAACGUUUUAUUACCCACAAUUUAUUAUUAAUUUUUGAGGCAUUCGAAGUGCAAAUGUUAAACAACUACGUGAAUCGUAAUAAACCACACAACUUACUAUAAUUAACUCUGUUCUUCAAUUGCUACAAGUUCAUUACAUCACACUAGUAAUUUAUUCGCUUCGUAAAAAAUUAUUCUCUAAUAAAUUUUGUUUUUCAUAUGCCAUCCCUGCAGUCUAAUACUGGGAGAUAUACUUGGUUUAUUUUAUUUUUCAUUUUUCUUCACCAUGUGCCGAGAUGCUUAAAAAUCUUUGUAUUAUCAUACACUAUGUACAUGCUUGCUGAUCUUUCCACUGUUGCAAAGCAUGGAUCUGUCCAUCAUAUUCAUUAACAAAUAAUAAUAUUCAUGGCUAUCAAACUACCAAUUCAAAACACUACACGCAGAGUGUUUACUCCAAAAUGCAAUACUGAUUAACUCCCUAAGCAUAUAUGUAGAAUGUAUAACGGUAUACAUUACACGUAUAUUUUAAAGCUUAAUUUUACUCAUAAACUAUUAUACUUAAUAAAAAGAAAGUGUUGGUGAACAUUAACUCAUGUUCGCAUCAAUCCGGUUGCCAAUUGGUUAUCUAACAUGUAAAUAAGAGUCAUACGUUGAGAAUAUAUUUUCGCAAAGUGACAACUGCGUUAUCCUACAAAGUAUGUAAUCGUUAUUCUUGCUCUCAGCUAAAUGUAAAAGGUUUGUAAUUAUGUAAAGCAUUGCUAUAAAUAUACAUAUAUGAUUGGUGCAUCAAGUUUA